rnacentral:rRNA from 1 species
GAUGAACGCUGGCGGCGUGCCUAAUACAUGCAAGUCGAGCGAACAGAUGAGGAGCUUGCUCCUCUGACGUUAGCGGCGGACGGGUGAGUAACACGUGGAUAACCUACCUAUAAGACUGGGAUAACUUCGGGAAACCGGAGCUAAUACCGGAUAAUAUAUUGAACCGCAUGGUUCAAUAGUGAAAGACGGUUUUGCUGUCACUUAUAGAUGGAUCCGCGCCGCAUUAGCUAGUUGGUAAGGUAACGGCUUACCAAGGCAACGAUGCGUAGCCGACCUGAGAGGGUGAUCGGCCACACUGGAACUGAGACACGGUCCAGACUCCUACGGGAGGCAGCAGUAGGGAAUCUUCCGCAAAGGGCGAAAGCCUGACGGAGCAACGCCGCGUGAGUGAUGAAGGUCAUCGGAUCGUAAAGCUCUGUUAUUAGGGAUGAACAAAUGUGUAAGUAACUAUGCACGUCUUGACGGUACCUAAUCAGAAAGCCACGGCUAACUACGUG